rnacentral:lncRNA from 1 species
GCUGAGCGACACCGCUGAGCACCACUAUCAUGGUGAAUUCUCUGCCAGACGUUUGGGCGACAACGUUGAGUGUUCUUCUCAAGUGUCGCACGCAUCGUUGAGCGAUGACCCAAUGCUGAGCACCACUACUUUGGGCUGGUUCAAUUUCUGCUAUGUUUUAAUGAAUUAUAAAUAGAUAUGGACGACCUAGAUGGUCUAUCUUUUGGCAGAAAGGACGCAGAAACACACCUCUCACC